rnacentral:misc_RNA from 2 species
AGCAGCCGCGGUAAUUCCAGCUCCAAUAGCGUAUAUUAAAGUUGUUGCAGUUAAAAAGCUCGUAGUUGAACUUCAGGCCUGUCCAGACGGUCCGCCUUAAUUGGUGUGUACUGUCCUUGGGUGAGUCCUACCUUCUGGCGAAGCGGCAUGGCCUUAAUUGGUUGUGUCGGGGAACCAGGACUUUUACUGUGAAAAAAUUAGAGUGUUCAAAGCAGGCAAAUAUGCUCGAAUACAUUAGCAUGGAAUAAUGGAAUAGGACGAUGGUUCUAUUUUGUUGGUUCUAGGACCGUUGUAAUGAUUAAUAGGGAUAGUUGGGGGCAUUAGUAUUCAAUUGUCAGAGGUGAAAUUCUUGGAUUUAUUGAAGACUAACUACUGCGAAAGCAUUUGCCAAGGAUGUUUUCAUUAAUCAAGAACGAAAGUUAGGGGAUCGAAGACGAUCAGAUACCGUCGUAGUCUUAACCAUAAACUAUGCCGACUAGGAAUCGGGCGAUGUUGACAAAAUGACUCGCUCGGCA